GAAAUGAUUUUUGCCAAUUCCUUCCUCUGAAAUAUGUCUUACAGUACCUGGUAUUCAUUGGUUGUCCCCUAUCCAAGUACUCACCAGGACUGACCCUUCUUCAUAGAAUCAUAGAGUUAGAAGCGACCUCAUGGACCAUUCAAAGCACCCCUGACAGAUGGCCAUCGAGCCUCUGCUUAAAAGCCUCCAAAGAAGGAGCCUCCAUCACACUCUGGGCAGAGAGUUUCACGGCUGAACAGUUCUCAUCGUGAGGAAGUUCUUCCUAAUGUUCAGGUGGAAUCUCUUUUCCUGUAGUUUAAAGCCACUGUUCUGCAUCCCAGUCUCCAGGGCAGCAGAAAAGAAGCUUGCUCUCUCCUCCCUAUGACUUCCCCUCACAUAUAUGUAUUAUAAUGUCUCCUCUCAGCCUUCUCUUCUGCAGGCUAAACAUGUCCAGUUCUUUAAGCCGCUCCUCAUAGGGCUUGUUCUCCAGAUCCUUGAUCAUUUUAGUUGCCCUCCUCUGGACAAAUUUCAGCUUGUCAACAUCUCCCUUCAAUUGCGGUGCCCAGAAUUGGAUAUAGUAUUCCAAGUGUGGUCUGACCAAGGCAGAAUAGAGGGGUAGCAUGACUUCUCUGGCUCUAGACACUAUACUCCUAUUUAUGUCUAUGAGGACUCCAAGAUCAUUUCCACACCUGCUGUCGAGCCAAGCGUCCCCCAUUCUGUACCUUUGCAUUUCUUUUUUCCCCCUGCCUAAGUGGAGUAUCUUGCAUUUGUCUCUGUUGAACUUCAUUUUGUUAGUUUUGGCCUAUCUCUCUAAUCUGUUAAGAUCAUUUUGAAUUCUGCUCCUGUAUUAGCUAUGCCUCCCAAUUUGGUGUCAUCUGUAAACCUGAUGAUCAUGCUUUCUUAGCUUCAAAGAUCAGUCAAAAUCUAAUGCCUAGGUUAUUUAGGCACACACACACACACACACACACACACACACUCACAUAUGCAUCUACUCCAUUUGUGGAAAGCUAACAACUUUUAAAGUUGCACUCAGAAAGCCCAAGUAUGCAUAGCUUGGGGUUCUGGUUGUUGUAGUAACAAAAUAAUGACUCCCACCUUCUUAAGAUGUAAUUAAAAUAAGGUGCAGAGGAUUAUUUCCUGAUAUGUGGAGAGGUGGCUUUAAAAUCCAGACAAAAUAUGUUAUUUGGCUUUUUGUGUUUGUGGGGGGAAGUUUGUGGGGCUGUCUGAAGUGUGAGGCAGUCUGGUGAGCUGACCUCUUAGUUUGAUGCUUUCUUCAGUAAACUCAUCUCCUGAAGAAAUUAAAUGAAAUGGGACAGAUAUUGCCAUUCAGAUGUUUUCACUUUUGCAUUUUCCUGUUGAAUUUCAGAUCCAAAUCUCAGAUAUCAUAUUGACAUAUAGUUAUUUGAAAAAUCUGAAGGGCUCAUUGCAAGACGUGAAUGCUUAAUUUAUUUGACAACUGGGUUAUUUGUGGAUUUCAGUUUCAUUACAGCUUUGGGUGACAAGGUUAUAUUCAGCAAAGAAAAGAGACAAGUACUCAUACAUUUCAGUGUGAAGUUUCUUCCUCUAAAAUAAUAGAUCCUUCCUUAGAUCUGUACAGUAUUUUAAUGUAAAGAAGAGAAAUUGCUAUUACAGUGUACUCAAUAUUUAACUAGUGCUAGAACAUAGUGAGUGAUUAGACAUAUAUGAGAAUUUAAAAUAGAAGGAAACUGAUUUUUCCUAAUAAUUAUAUACAUCUCUUGAUAGGUGCUUGGUAUUGCAAGUCUACUGUGGUGCAAUAAAGAGUAGGACUAUAAAAAAUGUAAUGAAAUACAAGUCUUUCCAGAUUUCAGAUUUCCAGCUAUUACCAUGGGAAAACAAUGUAUUACUUAUAUAACUAUAGAGCUUGGACAAUUGCUUUUCAGCUAGAGCAUAAUGGAAGUCCCUUGUCCUGAGUUUCCAAACAAAAAAGAAAUCAGAACCCAGAAUCCCAGAUUCCUGUAUACUCCCCCAACUGCUGCCUUCCAGAAGCCUUGGACAGACUCAGAUCAUCUGCACUCUAGAAUCAAUUCAGUUUGAUACCACUUUUACUAACAUAGAUGAAUACUGUGGAAUCCUGAGAUCUGUAGUUGGAUGAGGCAGAAACCUUGUAAAAUGACAAUUUUCAGGAUUCCAUAGCAUUGAGCCAUGGCAGUUAAAGUUGUGUCAGGUUGCAUUAAUUCUAUAGGGAAGAUACACCUUAGAACUCCCAUUAUAUACCUAUUGUCAGGAGCUAUUCUGUUUUGCUGCUUAUAGGGCUUGUAUUUUAGAUGAUCUGAAAGACUCCUGGUUGGAGGAAGGAUGCUAUCCCCCCUUACAUAGGAGAUAUUUAACAUAGUGUGACUUAAUCAUAACUAAAUAUACAUACCACUGCACUAUGAAAUUUCUAUUCUCCCCUCAUAAAACUGUACUAUCUAGGUUCCAACUUGCUUGUCUUUUACUUUUAAAUCAGGAAAAUUUCAAAUAGUGACUCCUAGUGGGCAGAGAAGAUUUCCUCAACAUUGCAAAAUAGUAUUGAAAAGAAGCUUCGAGAAUUCCAAGUACUUCUGCAAUCUGUUACAACAAUAUAGAUUGCAAUAUAGUCCAAAUGUUUUAACCCUUUGUGGGAAAAGCAAUGCUCAUUUGAUAUAUGGAAUAUGGGGUGUUUUAUAUUUUCUUUUUGACACUACACCAGAUUUUGACACAUUUGCUUAAAAAACUUGCACUAGUCUUAUACAUAAGAACUAAUUUUUGCAAUCACUUGGAAGACUGCAAAAAUUAAGUCUGCAGAAAUUAAAAUAGACUUUUCCUACAAUGGGGAAAGGGGUGGUUAGAUCUAUCACACUCUCUGGAACAGAAUACUUUAAUCCUAUAUUUGGGUGGGAGAAGCUAAUGGGGGUUUCAGCACUUAACUUGGAGACUAGACUUCGAAUUCCUAGUUGACCAUGGAAACACAUUAGUGACAUUUUCUCAGUUUCAGAGGAAGACGAAGGUAACCCUCCACUGAUCAAAUCCUGCUAUGUAGAACCUCUUGAUAGGUGUCAUGUAUCAUGUUCCACAGUUGAUGGUGAUUGAGGAUGUCAGGCUUAGCAGUUGGUGAUGGAAGGGGUUCAUGUAAGUCUUAGUUCUACAGGGCUGAGUAAUCUGUAAUUAGGAAUUACAGGUGAAAGCAAGGAAGUGUGGGAGCAUGCAAGAGAUAGGUUGCAGCUGGGUUUUACUAGCUAUAAGGAGCUAGCCUAGAGAAUGAUCUUUGUGUAGAAAAGUAUUCUGUCAUGAUGCCAGGGCUCUGCCAGUAUGCAGGCAGAGGUGAACCAAAACAAACACCCAGCUGGUUUCAAACUGUUUAAUUAAAGCAGCACUUACUGUCUGGCUGUUUUCAAAGUUCCAAUUUAAAACAUAAAGAUAGCACUCAGCCACAGAAUCAAAACAAAACUGAUAGCAAAUGCUGAUGCAGGUACAAGAAGAAACCAAUGUCAAAAAAGGUCCAGUCCAAUAGUCAAGCACAGCUCAAUGAGUGAAGUCCAAGGAUCAAGAGUCUAUACCGUAGUCAAUGGCCAGUCCAGUGGUUCCAGAUUUUCAAAAGUACAACCCAGCUGCAACCUAUCUGUUGCAUGCCUCCACCCUUACUUGCUUUCACCCUUAACUCCUACUUACAGAUUACUCAGCCCUCUAGAACUAAGACUUACAUGAAUCCCUUCCAUCACCAACUGCUAGGCCUGACAUCCCUAACCACCAUCAACCACCGAACAUGAUACAUGACAAUAGGUUAGCUUUAGAUCUGCCAUGUUGGAAACUACUUGAAGCCACACAACAACAAGGCCAAUUGAAUUAUAUGGGGCUACUUCCUUCUGAACAGGGAUUGUAUUUAUAGUAAAUGAACAACUGGUGGUUAAAUGUGUGUAUUACCGUAAACACUGAAGAUAAUGGUAUGCUUGCAUAUGUGCAUGUAGUUGUGUAGACAUAUUGACCUCGAAGGGUAUAUCCAACAAAUACAUAACACCAUAAUAAUGUGGCAAGCCUAUGAACACUUUCCUUGGAACAAGCCCCACUUCAUACCCAGGGAUUUACUACUCUUGAAAUGCCAGAUCCCAUCUGAUCUUUGAAGCUAAGCAAGAUCUGCCCUGAUUAGUGCUUAGAUGGGAGAUCACAAAAAACUACAGGGUACUGUAGGCUAGAUUUCAGAGGAAGGAACUGACAAAACCACCCCUAAAUAUUCCUUAUCUUAGAAAACACUCUGAAAUCCAUGGUCAACAAGCAACUUGCAGGCACAUACCCAUUGUGAUGUCCUGGUUUGAAUAUUUGAUUAUGGGUGUAUCUCUACAUUAGAAUGAAUGCAGUUUGACACCACUUUAAUUGGCUCAAUGCUUUGGAACCAUUGGAGUUGUAGUUUGGCAGAGAAGGCUAAAAGAACUUGCAAAACUGCAACUCUCAUGAUUCCAUAGCAUUGAGUCAUGGCUGUUAAAGUGGUGUCAAAGUGCAAUAAUUCUACAGUAUAGACACACCCCAUGACUAUGGAGACCAGGGUUCGAAUCCCUACAUAGCCAUGAAAACUUUUUGUAUAGCUUUAAGCAACUGUUCAUCCGUUCUACACUAUAGAGUAGUGUAGAACGGAAUCACGGAAAGUGUAGUUUUGUAACUACACUUCUCUGCCAAAUAAUGACUUCCCAAACUAUUAACCCCAGGAUUUCCCAGCAUUGAGCCAUGGCAGUUAAAAUAGCACCAAACCUCAUUAAUUCUUCAGUGUUGCUGCACCUUCAGCCUCACAAAGCCCAGUGAUAGGUUCACCACAAGAAUAAUGUCAUCCGAUGGCUUGGAAGAUCAGGGAGUCAUUCAUGCGUUAAACAAAAAGAACACCACCAAGCCAGAUCUGGUCCACGACCCUGAGGUCCCACCAAGGACAAAGCUCUCGCCUUCUUCCCUGCGUGACGUCACGCCACGUGCCACGAAUAACCAAAGCCACCCAGCUUUUCCAGCGUCACAAUUGCACCAAGAGAGAGCAACCGCUCUAAUCGAAAAUGGGGGCACCAUAAUUCUUCGGAUGACCAUCACGCGAGAUGACGACCUUGCGUGGCGUAUUGCUUUUACCAUAGGGAGCCAUUCUCAUAAAAUAGGGACGUCUUGAGAGUUACCAUGGCUCAAUGCUGUGGAGCCCUGGGAAUGGCAGCUUUACCAUCUUUAACCUUCUCUGCCAAAGCGUGCCGGUGCGUCACCAAAUUGCAGUCAUGGUAGUUAAAGCGGUGUCGAAUUGCGAUGGGGAAGGGAGGCCGCUAUUUAUGGCUCUUGCCUCGGGCAGCAAAAGGUCUUGGGUCGACCUCAUAACGACCCUCGGUCCCAUCUCUCGCUUGGCGCCUGAUCCAAGCCAUUGGCAUUAUUGGUUUGAAACAAGGGAAGCGGGGAAGCCGACGCCUUUCCGAGCAAAGAGAUGGGCGAAGGAUCCAAUCCUUUACCCAUUUCGAGUGGGGUUGAUAUCGUCGAAGAUGGAAGAACCCAAACGGAGCGCGAGAGCGAGAGCCGGCUGUACUAUUUCAAACACACGUAGGAAUACAAAUCCAUCCAUUUCGUGACAGCCGAGCGGUAAAAAUAUCAAAGCGUUUACAUAAUCUCAUAUCUCCGGUUGUCGGUUUUACGCAGAGGCAGGGAAGGAGAGGGUCUUAAUAAGCUCCCCCCACCCCUUAAAGGAAUCCAAAGAAUUUAACAUUUCAAGCAAACGAUUCAGAAAAUAGAAGAAGCCACCAACUCCCUCGAAUCGGAUUUCUUCUGAGUAUUUCUUUCUGCGCGUCUUUUUGAAACCAGUUUAGCGAAGGACAGUCCCGGUUAUUUCUCGGCGGGUAAAUUUGCAAUAAUUCGCCCACCGGAAAGAGUGGUUUUGCACGUGGGGAGUAAGAAGGUGGGCUAGGACAAGAUGGAGCGGGAGACCAAUUACAGUGUGCGUCUACUUUGUGGAAUUAAUGCAGUUUGACACCUCUUUAACUGCCAUAGACUCAAUGGAAUCGUGAGCAGUUUUGUUUUACAAGGUCUUUCGCCUUCUCCGCCAAAGAGGGAUGAUGUCUCACUAACUGAUCCAUGUAGUUUUGACCUUGAAGGAACUGGGGGCGGUGACGGCCGACAGGGAGCUCUGGCGUGGACUGGUCCAUGAGGUCACGAAGAGUCGGAGACGACUAAACGACUGAGCAGCAGCAGUCUCACUAACUAGAACGAGAUUCCAUAGCACUGAGCCAAGGCAGUGAAGGCGGUGGCAAACUGCAUUCAGUUUAGGAUUGCAGAGUCAGAACUUUAGGUUCAAAAAUGUUUAUUAAAGUUAAAAAAAUAUACAUUCUUGAUAGAAAAGGUUGGUAUCGUCGAGAAGUCUUCACAUGACCCAAAUGGAAGAACCCAAACGAGCUUACUAAAUCUCAUCUUCUAAAGAGGUAACAAGGUAAAAAGUCCACGCAGCUACAUGUGGCUUAGAGAGAGGCAAAAAUGUGCAUCCUCAAAUGCAGAAGACUGAAAAAUGACGAAUGGCCAAAUGGCCAGCCCAGGGCAAUAGAAGGUAAAGAGGAAGAUCCCUCACCGAAUUACAUUACUACAUCAUCAAAGGGGGGGGGGGGGAGGAGACAUCGGCUAGCAAGAGGAGGAAGGACAAAGCCCUUUUGGGAAAAAUUCAUAGAAAUGUGAGGGAAGGAAUCCCUCAGCUUAGUCCUGUCUGUUGCCUAGCUACUCAUUGAGGACUGGAAACUUGAUAACACAAGAGACUUGAGCAGUUCAGGGACAGACAUUCACUAGCUUCCAUUAUAAACUCACGAUGUCUGGUUAUAGUUCUCAGGACUCUUCUGCCAGUGAUAUGCUUGCCAAGAUAUCUUUCAUAGAUAGAAGACAUCUGGAUCCCCAUCAAAUCAUGCUAAUUUGCUAAUGAAAUAAAACAUGGUAAGUCUUGGCGAGAUCUUUACUGUGAUGAAGACUACUUAAUGUGGGGACAUAUCUUUCAGGACAUAAGGAAUGAGAAGAAAAUAAAAUAUGCAGAUAUGAAUUUGUCUUGGACCCAGUUAAUGACUUCUUUGACAAUAAACUUAAAAAUGUGAAUGCACUGAGUGUCAGCAGGUUUGCCAGUCAGAUAUCACAGAUACAGUAUAAUGGCCUGGAAAACAGGUUAUUACACAUACUGUUUGUUAGCUGGAAAAAAGGUGCCAUAUGCAUUUAUAUUAUAUGAGAUUUGGCAAGUGAAAAAGGGAAUGUUUGCAUUUGUUAUUCUGUACAGGGAUGUCAUUCGUUUCUGAUUUUUUAAAAUAUAUGUUUUCUCAUUUUAUGUCCUGAACUUUUAUAUUUAGCCAUUUGAACUUUGUAUUACAAUGUUGGGCAAAUAAGAAGUAAAGUGUAUAUGGUUAAAAGUGAUUCUAAAAAAAAUAAUUUCCACACACUACUGCUUUCAUGAACAUUGAAUUUAUGGGAAAUUCUGAUAUUGCAUUGACAUGCCUAGCCUAGUACUGAUAAACACAGAAGGUCUAUCUUGAAAAGAGUAAUUGAUCUGGAUGCAUGAAUCAUCCUGCAGUUCCCUUUGAGAGCUUCAGAUAAUAAAAGAAAAGAAAAGCAGUGGGCUACAAUUUUUGCAUUUAGGUGAAAUCCACUAAGAAAGUUGCAGAGAUAUAUAUGUAAAUCAUCUUGUUGGGUUUUUUAAAGAGUAAAGCACAUUCCAGCAACUGAUGGGCAGCCUCAUUUUGCACUGCCAUUUGUACAGGAUCCCCCCUCUCAUUUAUAACAUCGCAGUAGUUGUAGCCUCCAUUGGAAAGAAACAUUGCUCUUCCUUUCACAAUCAUAUGUACGUGGAAAGAUGCCAGCCACAGAUGCAGGCAAAACGUCAAGAGAAAAUGCUGCUAGAACAUGGCCAUACAGCCCGGAAACCACACAACGCUCUAGUGAUUCCGGCCAUGAAAGCCUUCAACAAUAAAUAGCUUUGAAAUUUGGAAAGUCCUCAGUGCAUCAACAUUGGAGGAAGGACAUCAACAUCAAUGUCAGAGAUGUCAAACUCAUUUUCAUCAAGGGCUACGUCAGCCUUAUGGUUGCCUUCAAAGGACUGUUGAAACCAUGGAAGAAGAACCUGUAGACAAAGAAGGCCAACUAUAACUUUUUAACAUAGUGAUCUUUAGUUUUUACCCAAUUUAGUUUCGACCCAAUGUGGGUCCCCAGAUGUUACUGAACAACAACUACCAUCACUUUUGAUUAUUUGCCAUGAGGACUGGGGAUGAUGGGAAUUGCAAACCAACAGCAUGGCUUUGAGGCUGAGGAAAGGUUAAAAAUGUUUUAAAGUCGGAUAUCAUACCCACAAGCCUUGUCUCUAAUUUCAAACCCUACUCUCUUGACUAAACAGAGCAAACUGCAGUCUUCCAGGUGUUAUUACUAUUAUGUUUAUUUAUACCCCACUUUAUUUCUCCCAAAGGAGACUCAAAGCAGAUUAUAUUAAAAGUAUGACCACACAAUUUAAAUAUACAAAUAUGCAAACAUUACAACAUAAUUAAACAUGACAGUAUUACAAUUCACAGUUAAAAUUCAUUAAAACAUUCAAAGCCAAAGGUGUUUCUGUAUCACAGCUCCCAUCAGCUCUAGACAAGAUGCCUAAUGAUGAGGAACACAGGAGUUGUAGUCCAGCAUCCGGAGGGCCACAUAAAAUGAAGUGGAGGGUCACGGCACUGGAGUUUGACACAUGUAAUCUAAGGUAAGCAGACAACAUCAUAAUACGAGCAGAAAAUAUCAAAGACUUGAAGAAAAUCAAGACAGAAAGUGCAAAGGUAGGUUUACAGCUGAACAUUAAGAAAACAAAAAUGAUUGCAGGUGAUUUAUAUAACUUCAGAGUACAAGAUGAAGAUACUAACAUAGUUCAAAAGUUUUCAUACUUUGGCUCAGAAGGAAGACUGCAGUGAGAGAAAGACUAGCAUUUGGAAGGACAGCUAUGAAAGAACUAAACAAGAUCCUGAAGUGUAAAGAUAUAUUACUGAAUACUGAACUUGGGAUGUUCCAUGCUAUCAUAUUUCCCAUUUCUAUGUAUAGUUGUGAAAACUGGACAGUAAUGGUAGUUGAUGGAGGGAAAAAUCCACUCAUUUGAGAUGCAGUGUGGAGAAGAAUUCUGAGGAUACUGCUAAAAGUACAAAUAAAUGGGUAAUAGAGCAAACCAAGCCUGAAUUUUUCCCUAGAAACCAAGAUGACUAAACUGUGACUGUGGUACUUGGGACAUAUGACAAAACAUGACUCAGUAGAAAGACCGUAGGAAAAGAAGAUGACAAAAUUUCAGAUGGAAAGAAUCAGAGAAGCCACAGUCCUAUGUCUGCCAGGGUAGUUGAGGAUAGAAUGACUAUGAGGUCUUUCAUUCAUGAGAUGGCAAUAAGUCAAAGUUGGUUUGAAGGUAGCUAACAACAAAAGACAUUUGAGUAAGAAAUUUAUCAAAGUAGAUUUCAAAUGUUAUUUUGUAUGAAUGUGUGCUUCCCAUUGGAUUUAUUCAUAUGAAUGAAAUGAAGUUCCAUUAGUUUAGUAGGGCUUAUUUCUAAGUAGACGUGUGACAAAUGGGACUCUGUUCCCUUUCCAACUAGGCAAAGCAAAAACAUUUAAAACAUCUCCUCUAAGAGAACAUAGCCUUAAUUCAAAUAAGGAUUUUUGAUCACAAAAGUUUCCAACUUUUUAGCCCAAUGUUUAUUGUAGUAUCACAGCUAGUAUCACAGCUAGUAUCAUGGUAUAGAGGGCACCUUCACUCCUAUAAGGUGGCAAUGCGUUCAAUGAAGAAAGCUUUUUUCUCUCUGCACACAUAGCAUCUGAAGAUUCAUGUCCAGCUAAGCUGUUCAGAGUAUUGAGAGGAUUAACCCAGGUGCCCUCCCCUCCAAACCUAUCGCUAGAACCUUUAGUAGUUCACUGUGAUGCUUUUAACAGCCAUUUUGCAGAUAAAAUAUCUCACAUUAGAGUUGACUUAGAUGUCAACAUGAGAUAUCUAGCAACUCUGUAAGUGGGAUUACACUGGAUCAGUUCCAAUGGGUGAGUACUGUUGAUGUGGACAAGCUGCUGGGGUAAGUAAGGAAGACAACUUGCUUUCUUGAUCUCUAUCCAUCUUGGCUGGUUGUACAAGGAGAUGCAGAGAUCCUCAGGGAAGAUAUCUCAAAUACAACAAAUUACUACUGCAUCUCUCAGGGAGAGAAAUUUUCCAUCCUAUUUAAAAGAAGCAGUAGUUAGACCACUACUAAAAAAACCCCUCCCUGGAUCCCCUGGACCUUAAUAAUUACAGACCUUCCUUUUUUGGGCAAGGUGAUUGAGACGGCAGUUGCCCCCCAACUCCAGGCAGUCUUAGAUGACACACACUUCCUUGACCCAUUUCAAACCAGCUUCAGAGCAGGAUACAGAGUAGAGACUGCUAUGGUUGCCUUGGUGGAUGAUCUCCAUCAUCUCAACAUCAACAGGGGGAUGGGAAUCGAAGGCACUCGGAUGCAGUGGUUCCGGUCGUACUUCUCAGGCAGAUUCCAGAUGGUGGUGUUUGGGGAUAGCUUCUCCUCAAGAAAGGAGCUAUUAUAUGGCACCCCACAAGGUGCCGUUCCACCUCCAAUGCUCUUUAAUAUUUAUUGGGAGAGAUCAUUCGUAAGCAUGGGGCGGGUGUUAUCAGUAUACUGAUGAUAUCCAAAUAUAUUUCCCCAUACCUUCAAAAACAGCUUCAACUAAGGAUAGCAUGACUCCUCUGCAUGAAUGCCUGGAACAGAAAAAAACAAAUUGGAACUGAUUUCAGAUAAAACAAAGGUGCUUGCCAUCAAGGGUCCUAAUCUGGGGGUGGAUGUGUGUCAACCAAUUCUUGAUGGGAUUACACUCCUCCUGAAAGACUGUGUUCGCAGCUUAGAAGUGCUCCUGGAAUCGUGUUUCCAAAUUCAGCUCAAGUAGAUGCGACGGUCAGGAGUGCUUACUUUCAGUUUUGACUGAUGCACCAGCUGCGCCCCUUCCUAGAUUUGGAUAACCUAAAGAUGGUAGUACAUGCACUGGUCACUUCAAGAUUGGACUUCUGCAAUGCACUUUACAUUGGGCUACCUCUGUACCAAGUUCAGAAACUCCAGUUGGUUCAAAAUAUGGCAGCCAGACUGGUUACAGGAACAUCUAGGAGUUGGUAUAUUACACCUAUCCUAAAGUCACUUCACUAGUUGCCAGUUUGUUUCUGGGCAAAGUACAAGGUGUUGGUUUUGACUUUUAACGCCCUACAUGAUUUGGGUCUAGGUUACCUAAAGGAUCACUUUCUUCUUUACAAUCCGCCCUGAACACUUAGGUCCUCUGGGGGGUGGUUACUCCAAUCAGCCAGAACCCAAUUGGUGACCGUCACCCAGAGGACCUUUUUCAUCGGCCACCCCAAGACAGUGGAAUGACCUGCCAGAAGAGCUCUGACAGCUAAAUAAGCUGUUGGAAUUUAAAAACCAUUUAAAUACCUGUUUCUUCUGGCAGGCCUACCCAGACAGUUUUUAAACAUGAAUUUUAAAUGUGUGUCCUUUGUUUAAUCUCUGUUUGUGUAUUUUAAUACAUAUUUUAUAGAAAUAUGUUUUAAUAUGUAUAUUUUAUAGAAAUACAUUUAAUGUGUAUGUGUGGCAUUUUUACAAUGUUUAUGUGUUUUAAUUAUUUUAUAACCUGCCUUGAACCAUGAGGAGAGGCAGGUAAGUAAUAAAAUUAUUAUUAUUAUUAUUAUUAUUAUUAUUAUUGUUGUUGUUGUUGUUGUUGUUGUUGUUGUUGUUGUUGUUGGUGUUGUUGUUAAUCUUUUAUUGUCUUUUCCUUUGCUUGUUGAUGUUUGUUCUUGUUAUUUGCUGCACAGCUUGUGUGAAGUACAUACAUGCUGUAAACAUUUAGUUUACCAUUGCCACCUAUACACAAGCUAAUAAAAUGUUCAAUAACAAAUAAAGAUAAAAAUAAUUUUAAAAUAGUUAUCUUUCUACAUUAGCUGGGCUUAGGGGAAUAAGAGCCCUAUGAAAGUGGAAAAACUGUGAAUUAAAAAUGCUAUUUUUUUACCCGAGAGAACACCUCUCUAAGAAUCUCUUGAUCCUCCAGCGAGACUCUAUGGUUCACAUCUGCCAGAGGUUGAUCAUAAUGUUGUUCUGAAGGACCUAGAGAUUCCUGAAGAUACCAUAUUAAUCAAAUCUGCACAUUAUUAGGUAUUUAAAAGUUAAACCUGCAAAUGUGGAGACCUGACUGUAUAUUGUUUGGAGUAGACUUGCUACUUCCAUGAUUAAUCCCCCUUUUUAUCCUGCAAACUCAAAUAUCGAGGCUUUUGCAUUUACAUGGAAUGACAAGCCCCUUGUCCAGAAAUUUAUUUUUAUUUUUAAAAAAGGGAAAUUGCUAAGCAGUCUAAGUAGACGAAGUCAAGUUAAGCAAAAACAUUAAAUCAGCUGCAGUUUCUGAGUAGACAAAGCAGAGAGAAGUUUAGAUAUAAUAAAUUCCUUUCAAAACAACAGAAAAGGUAGCUAACAAAAUAGUUUACUAUUGGGAACCUUUAAUGCUAAAAAUAGCUCACUGAAAUAAUUAGGAGACUGUACUCUUAGACUUUGUAGAGAUUUAGAGCCAGUUUGUUGUGUGAUUUCAGCUACUACAAGAAUCAUGGGUUUGGAAGUCCAGAAUGUCUAGCUUGUUGGAAAGGCUGAUAAGAUACAGACAAGCUUGAAGGCAAAAAUUAGAUGUUAUUAUCUGUCAAAGGACAGAGAGAAUGUCAGCAGAAAUAGCCCUCCAAAGAACCGACAUACCGUAAUUGACAGCUAUUCAAGAAACCCGUGCUAGUUCCUGAUUAGCUCGGAACCUCUCCAGCUAGGAUCCACAUCCCGAAUGUCUCAGAAUUCCAUUGGACAUAUUUGCUGAUUGGCUCUUCAUGUGGCGGGAAGUUCAAUAAUCAUUGGAGCAUUUGAAGCAUUAGUCCAUUUAAUAAUUCACCUCCAAGAGGGGUACAAUCAAAGGGGAUGUGGCAAUAUGAAAUGAGUCCUUGAAGGGCUUAAUGGGUUGGCUCUGGUUAGCACAAUAGGGUUAGUCCAGUGAACACAAUAGAUAAUUGGGGAUGAUGACCCUGAAUAGGUGAAGCUGGCUUGAGGCAUGGGUGCUGGAUCUUUCCCCCAGGAAGCAGAAAGUGGAUUCAGAGAUUCUGAUGUGAAUUCAUUGAUUGUUUCCUCUCACUUAUCCCAGUUCAUUUUGAGAGAAUUACAGAAAUGGAAGGAGGGGGUCUGGGUGUGUUGGAGCAGCAUUCCAAAGAUCAUACAUAACAAAGGGUUAUUAUAAGGAAAGAUCAUUCAUAACAAAAGGUGCUUGCCAAUUCCUGUGAAGCUACAUCUAGGAUUUCAUAUAUUUUGUAAUUUGGGGGUAUGGUUUCUAAAUAUCACUUUGAAAAGCGUACAGUCAUAGCACUAUGAUUCUACUUUUACUGUCAUGAUUCCAUUUAGUAGAAUACUGGGAUUGGUUUAUUUUAGGGAAGGAAAUUUUGAAGUCUCAGCUAGACAGCUCUAAUGCCUGACCAAAAUGCAAAUACCAGGAUUCUAUCUGAUGUGGCCAUGGCAAUUAAAGAAGGACUGUAGUCCUAUAAUUGUGGAACAUGAAAGGGACCCUUUAGCUGAGACCAAUGUUUCUCAAAUUGUGUUCCUCCAGGUAUUUUGGACUUUAACUCCCAGAAAUACCAGCCAUCUUACCAGCUGUUAGGAGUUAAGGAAGCUGAAGUACAAAACAUCUGGAGGAGCACAGUUUGAGAAAUAUUGGCCUAGACAAACGAAAAGCUUCAGUCAUGCAGAUAUUUAACCUAAAGAUAUCUGGGCAUGUUAUUUAUUCAGAAACAUUACUAAACAUUUUGGGAUUGAGACACUCUGUUCAGUACUUACUUAGCAUUACAUUCUUAAUGUAUAGUGUGACCCCUAUAUCCAUAGGACUGGUAGCCACAGUAUAAUCUAUGCACUUCUGAGAAAAUAGGUUAUCUCUAGGCAUUUUUAGAUCCUCCAGAGUAUGGUAUUGUUGGGUCAGAAGUCGUUCAUUGCAAUAAGGCUAGCUAUUAUCGAUAAUUUUGCAUACCCACACAAAGUUUGGGAAGGUAUCCACCACAGCUACAGGGACUUUACUGUGCCUAUUUUGCCUGUUCAGGUAACAAAGAGAUAACUAUUAAUGUAUAGAUAGGCAACUGAGAGUAAAGAAUUGUUUGCCAUAAGGAGAGAAACUUUGUUAGGAAAAAAAAAUAGAAGUAGAUUUCUAUAAUUAGAAAUGUAACCAUACCCAUUUAACCAAUGGGUUACACUAAUUUCUAUCCAAAUGAAAAAAAUGUUAUAAUAUAUAGAAGGGGCACACGCUGGUUGAUUUGUAACCUUGUGAAUACCAUUUAAUUGGAUUUGGUAUUAAAAUGUAUGCAAUAGUGCUAAAGAAACUUAAUAGGAUAAUAUAUUUUGGUGGGGUAAUUACAAUUGCUUAAAUAUUUUAGAAGAAGUGAAUAAAUAAAUGAACUUCACAACUUGGACUAAUAAAUGGUACUUUUUCUACUUCUUUCUCAUUUGGUUUAUCUCCACAUUACUAUAUAUCUCAUGGCCAAGAUUGUUGCAUGGAUGCCCUCUAGCGGAAAGCUUAGGGAAGGAAACUGCCAUUAGUCAUGUUUAUAUCAUGUUGGGGGGUGGGGCGCGGGGGGGGGCAGCCCCUGAAUUACAAACCUUCAACUUACAAAUGACUCAUAGUUAAGGACUGGGGUGAGACAACAGGAAGUGAGAAAAAUCUACCCCUAGGCAGGAAGGGAAUCUCAUUCCUCGAAGAGUUAUCAUGGGGAAAGGUGUCUCCACUGAAGCUUUCUCACCAAUCCUUGUUUCCACAACAAGCCAUUCCCCCCCCCCCCCAAAAAAAAACAAGUUAUCACAGGGACAGAAAGUGAGGUGAAAUCUUCUGAACAGGGACACAGACAGCAAAACAAACACCACUGGGGUGUUAAGCCCUAUGCUAUCCAAAGCUAAUAUUUUGGCUGGAGUUACACUUAAAAUAAAGGUCUUGGGAGCAAACAUGAGAAAAGUCUUUGGAACUUUGUAUUUGGAACUUUGGAUUCGCAUGACUUUAUGAAACUGCCUGAUCAUUUAGUAAUGGAUAUCUAAGCUGGAAAUGGAUCCAUAUAGCUUCACUCCUCUACUGUAGAAAGUCUUGAACAUGGGACUUUCUACAUGGUUGUUGAUAAAAUGACUUGUUCACACAUUUCACCCUGAGAGCGGUUUGGCAGUGAAACUUUCUGCCCUGAACUGUGAUGGAGGCUCCUUCUUUGGAGGCUUUUAAGCAGAGGCUGGAUGGCCAUCUGUCGGGGGUGCUUUGAAUGCGAUUUCCUGCUUCUUGGUAGGGGGUUGGACUGGAUGGUCUCUUCCAGCUCUAUUAUUCUAUGAUUCUAUCAUUCUAAGAAGCCUCAGAACAAUGAUAAAAAGAAAGUAAAUACAAAACCAUGAAACAACAGGGCAGCUGAUAACGCUAGGAGAUGUCACAACACCAUAAAUUUGAAGGGCUAUAGCUUUUCUGGAACUGCUGAAAAUGCCUAUUGAGAGUGGUGCUAAUUCAUCUACAAAACAGAAGAUGAAUAUUGCAUUUUAAAAAGGUAAGCCAUACAUCAGUGGGGCUGCAAAAGAUCACAUAAUUAGGAAGUUAGAAACAUGAAAUCAUAGUGACUGCAGUAAGGCAAGACAGGAAGCAAGUUCAUAAUGAAUUCUGAGCAGCUUAAAUAACCUGAAUAAUUUGUAGAAGAGUUAAGAGAUAUUUAACUGAAGCCCUAUCACUCAGGUCAAAGGGUUAUAUGAGCAAUUAUAAGCUACCAAAAUGUAAUGUUCAAGGAUUUAUUUGAUGUUAAGUGUCUGGUCAAUUUACUGUUGAAAGAUAACAGUGUAAUCAAAGUUUUAUUGUUCUGGAGUUUAUUGCACAAAUCAGCCAAUAUAACUGGAAAAUGGACAGUUUUGGAAUUAUGAGGGAAAGGAGGAGAAUUCAGCUCCCUGACAUCACUUUAUUGCGAUGUGGAACAGACCCAUCAUACAAAGGUAGGUGAUGGUAAAAUUGUGAGAUUGUGAACUAUUGAUGAGUUAAUCAGAACUUGAAAUAUUACCUUAAAAAUCAACCAGUGUCAGUUUUCAUUCUAAUGCUUAUAGUUAACAACAGAAAACCAUAAUUCUAGUAUUUUUAAUUUUAAAAUUACUUAAGUAAUCAUUUUAGUUACUUUAAAAAUCAGAAUACUAUAUGCUUGUGAUGCCUACAUUUACCAGGAUGAAACCCAAGCAGACAUGAUAAACAUCUAGCCAAAGAAAUACACAACAAAGCAGAUAUGGAAGGGCAACAGCAUGCAUUAAGCAUAUAUCAAUUCAUAAUUCCAUUAUAUACAAAAGUACAAGAAACAUAUUUGAUAAGAAACAAAACUGGGCAAUUUUUGAAAAAAUAUGCAGUAGUCCUACCACAAUGUGAGGGUUAGUAGUGCAAGUGGAAAAACCAUAGAAAUAAUAAAAACGGGUGCAGCAUAUUUUAGACCCGAAUGAACACUUCUUGAGCUAUUUCUAGAUCCUCCCUAGAAGUUGACUGAAAAUUGUGCUGGAUGAGUUAGAAAUGCCUGGGGGAAAUACUUCUCUAUAUCUUCCAAAACUAUUCUAUGGUUGAGUACUGCUGGAAGUUGGCCAUAGAAUCACCCUGGAAGACCUAGAAAUAUCUAGUAGGAAUAUAUUUUUGGUUCCAUAAAGGAAAGCAGCAAAGCUGGUGGAAAAUAUAUUAAUUAAUUAAUUAAUUAAUUAAUUAAACCACAUAUACUUAACUUGAAAAUAUGAAGAAAUAACUGUAAAUGAUUCAAGUGUAAAAGAAAAUACAGAACAUCUUUUGUACAAGAGAUAAAGUGAUGUUCUAGUAGUUAUAUUACUCACUUGCAAAAUCAUCCUGGAAACCCAGUUUGGAGAAAAAGCAAGCUAUAAAUAAUAAAGUUAACAACAACAACAACAACAUUUACACAGUUUGUUUCCCUGUUUGUGUGCAGCUGAUGGCGAAAGAUAUUGAAGAGCUUAGUUGAGUUCAUAAGGAAGCUUUCUCUCUCUCUCUCUCUCUCUCUCUCUCUCUCUCUCUCAAUAUCUCUCAAUCUCUCUAUUUCUCUCUCCCACCUCUCUCCCCUUCUCCCUUCUUCAUACACACUGCUGGAUGAUAGGCUGUCCCUCCCAAUUCCCUAAAGUAGGAGAAUCUCUGUUUCUGGAACCUGUGUAAGGAAUGGAGACAUUCUAUGAUAUUGCAACGGGCAAACUGAGUUAAAAGGUUACAUAUGAAAAUGUGAGUAAAGAAGACUGUAGUUCUAGUUCAGAUAUAGCUUGUAGAGGGAACAUAGGGCUGCAUUUCAGAAGCACAACACAGUGUGAGUGGCAAUGAGGAAGAAAAAGCUUCUCAUUUAAAUCUUAAGAGAAAAAAAAAGAUUGGUCCAUCACAAGUCAGUUUUACAAACACUGAGGGCACAUCCAGAGAGCACCUAAAAUGUGAAACCUCUCAUGUUUUUCCAUGGGGCAUCCAAAUGAUGCCUCAGGUAAAAAUGAAUUCCUUCAUCAUAAAGCAGGAAAGCUCUGCUUUGUGCUGAAGUAAUUUGUCAGUUGAAAAGACCUGGGCCUUUCAGAAGACCUGGGUCUUUCCUGCUGUGGGUGUUGUAUGAAUGGGAACUGUGGAUUAUGUUGUGCGACUUCCAGUGCCUAUCCACACAUCUGUCUUGGGUUUCUUGGACUCCUGGAGUCCAAGAAACCCAAGACAGCCCCAAUCCCCUCCCAAAACCCCUUAAAAAGCCUUUAAAAAAGAAAAUAACUUACCUGGUUGCUAUACCCUCUUCUCUGGAACUCUCCUGGUGUGUAGGAGAAGGGGGGACGAGGAAAAUCGCUCCUGACCCUCUUUUCUUCUGUUGCAUCACUUCUACAUGCCAGGAGAGCUACAGAGAAGGGGGAAUGGUGACCAGGUAAGUUAUUUUCUUUUUAAAAGGCGUUUAAAGGGGUUUUGUUUUGUGUCCUAGUGCCCUGCUGGAAAGUCCAGCAGGGCAUAUGGACACCCGCCCCAAAAAAGCAUGAGCUUUCUGGGGCAUGUGCGGACUUCAAUGCGAGUCCAAUCAGGUUUUAAAAACCCAAUUGCACUCACAUUUAAGUGCUGUCUGGAACUACCCUGAGAUGAGGGGAAAAAAAACACUUUUGGCACUGGGGGAUCCAGUCAAGUGCAGGCACAGCAGCCAUUGCUUCUGCUCAAUAGUCUUCACGCUUUUGCAGAAUAUGCAAUGAGCAAAACUAUUGUACUUUUCAACAUUUAUAAGAUGAAAACUGGGACACAUGUAGCCAAGCAGCAUCAGAUUAUGGUCAAUAUGGUGAACAUUAUUCAUAAGGGAGAAGAUAGAAGAGACUGCGCCUAUAGGGAACUACAAGAUUCUGCCCCCUUCUCUCUCCUCCUCCCUGCUAAGUUAAUGGAGUGCAAACUAAUUUUUCACUUUGAAUUUAGUUUGCAGCAAUUGAGGACACAGGUGGAGAACAGGAAGAGGCGGGGGAGAUAAUAACUGGGUCACUUCAAUAGCAACAGAAAAAGUCUGACAACAGAGGAUGAAUUGUGAUGAUCUAACAUUGGAUAGUUGGAAUGUAUGAGCUACACACAAGCAAAUAUAACAGGGCCAGCACUACUACUACCCUGUUUUCCCAAAAAUAAGACAUCCCCUGAAAAUAAGACCUAGUAGAGGUUUUGCUGAAUUGCUAAAUAUAAGGCCUCCCCCAAAAGUAAGACCUAGCAAAGUUUUUGUUUGGAAGCAUGCCUGCUGAACAGAACACCAGAGCAUGCAGGAUUGGUAAAUAUAUGUAUCAUAGAUUGUUGUACAUGGAAAUAAUGGUAGUAACAAGAAAUUCUUGAUAGGAUUCAGUUUGUCUGGUUAUGCUGGUUUGUGAUGACAACUACUGCACAGUAUAUAAUAAAUGUUCAUUUUUUGUACAACAAUAAAUGUGAAUUCUUCAUGGAAAAAUAAGACAUCACCUGAAAAUAAGACCUAGCGCAUCUUUGGGAGCAAAAAUUAAUAUAAGACACUGUCUUAUUUUCAGGGAAACAUGGUAUACAGCAGAAAAGUAGCUGAAGAAAGAGGUUUGUGCCAUGGAGCUUUCCUUGUAAAGAAUGGAUAGUUGUUGCGAGUUGGAACACUGUUUUGGCUCUUUUGGGAUCUUGAAAAUGAGACUUCCUGCCAUGCUCUCUCAUCCACCCCAAAUCCUUUGACUUCUUUUGUACUGAAAAUGUCCCUUCACACAGAAACAUACAGUUGGAAGAGACUGCAAGAGCCAUCCAGUCUGAACUCUUCCCGUGCAAGAAUAUGCAACCAAAGCACUCCUGACAGAAGACCACCCAGCUUCUCUUUAAAAAUCUCAUAACACUCUGAAGCAGUGUACUCCACUGUUGAGAAACUAUUAUCUUCAAGAAGUUCUUCUCAAAGCUUAGGUGGAAUUUCUUUUUCUCUAGUUUGAACCAAUUGCUCCUUGUCCUAGUAUCUAGACAGGCAGAAAACAUUUUGGCUCAAUCUUCAAUAUGACAUCCUUUCAAAUAUUGAAACAUGGCUAUAAUGUUUAAAUAUGACUAUUAUGCCCCCUCCUCCUUAAAUUUCUCUUAUUCAGGCUAAACAUACCCAGGUGUGAUGUCUCAUGGGCCUUGUAGUCCCGUUCCUAGUACUAUUGUGGCAGACGAAGAGGAAAACAUGGGAUUUCCACCGGUUCAGCCAGAAUCGGAGCCCCUGCACCUGGAGGAUGUUUGCCCUCAAGAAGUCAGCCAAACAAGCCUUGGGCAGAAUUCUCCCCCGUUUUCCCGGAGAGACAAUUAUAAUAGAGAUAGAGGAGCUAGGGAGGCGAAUCGCCGGAGUGCCAGAAUCGCAGCCAAACAAUUAGCUGAUUAGGUCUGCUUCCCUUGGGAAAUUCUAAGGAGUCAUGCAUCUGGACAGAGUGGUUUCACUUCUAGUUCUCCAGGGAAAGUGUUCUUCUGGCGGGAAACGAGACCCUAUUUAGGUGUUUUGCCGCGAAGGAAAUCUUGCGGAGUCAACUCGUCAGCUUGAGGAGUGAGAUCGUGUGUGGACUUAGUAAUCCCAGUUCCUUGUUUCCCGGACCAAGUUCCAAGCCUGCCUUGCUUCACGUUUGACCGCGGACCUCACCACGGACCUUGUUCUUGUUUCUUGUUUGCCUCGUACCAAGUCUUGUUUCGCCAAGAAUCUAGUUUGUUUUCCAGCCCUGUUGUCAAGCUUCAAUGGACUAAAAGACCUUGUCAUCUCCCCACACUAUUGCUUGGCAAAGUGUGUGUUUCGGUUAAUGGAUUAUAACUUUGGACUCUAAUAUCUCAUAUUGGACAUUAUUUUCCUGGACUAUAUUUGACCUUUCCUGAAAGGUCUACUCUGAACUUUAUUCUUCACUUGUUUUUAUUGACUUUAUAUAUUCCUAAAAUAAAGAUAUUAGAUAGAA